UCCCCUUUCUGUUCUCCCUUCUCUUGGCUCAUAGACUUGCCCCAAAUAGGAUGUUGGCUAGGUCUCCUCGCCGGCGAAGUUCAAUCUCGUCGCCGGCGACCACGGAUUGGAUCGACGAUGAACCUCCGCUCCACUUCUUGGUUUUAGUUCAUCUGAUUGUGCAUCCUUGGUGAAGGCUUUAAACCCGCCGAUGUUGUCUGGAUGGACGCGGACUAGAGUUGCAGCGCGGACUGCUCGACGCAGUGGUUCUCUCAGGCGAAGUAGGAUAUAGGUAUGAAUCCCUUCGUAUCUUCUAAGAAUUUUAUCAAUUCUCCUCUUUCCAAGCUUAUAUGAGCGGCAUGGAUGGGCUGCUGCUAUUUGGUUGACCUUCUCAUGGCUUGUUCGAUUCCUACCAAAUGUAAGUGUUCAUGAUAAGCAUCAUCCCUAAUGCAGAUUAUGUCUUAUAUUUCAUAAACAUCACCGUAAAAUUGAUUUUUUUAUUUGUUGUUACCAUGUCCUAGCAAGAAGUCUUUAACUUGUUAAUUAUAAUUUUGUCCAUAUGUGUCGGUCUGAAAAGGCUGCAUGAGUUUUACUUCGGCAAAGAAAACAUUAUAUUUUUUUGGCUUACUUUCUGUCUUACCACUUUUAUUCUUCCUUACGGUGGCACGAAUAAUGGAUUUAGUUUUGGCAUGCCCGACAUCGAACUCUUCAUCAUCAGGCCUUUUUAAUUGUUGUUGCUGCCGAACUUUUACCACUACAACUCUCUGGGUAUGACGUCUCCGCGCCAACUACGUCUUAACCUGGAUGCUCUUGAUCUCCCGACGCGGGAUCUAGGUGGACUAGAGCGGACAUUCACGGAGGAGGAAAUUCUGCAAACUAUCAAGUUCGUGCCACUAGAUAAGGCUCCGGGUCCGGAUGGAUUCACAACCAGGUUCUAUGUUUCAUGCUGGCCUAUUAUCAAAGAUGAUCUGUUCGCAGCUUUCUCGAUGUUCCACCAUGGUGAUAUGAGGGGUUUGGCUUCCAUCAACAAGGCGCUGGUUACUCUUUUGCGAAAAGGGAUGGUGCAGAGGAAUUGAGGGAUUUCAGGCAUGUGAGCUUCAUGCAUGGUGUGAUCAAAAUCUUUGACAAAAUACUAGCGUGCCGGCUUGCUCAUGAGCUGCCAAAUUUGAUCGUCCCCCAUCAGAGUGUGUUUGUCAAAGGGAGAUCACUCCAUCAUAACUUCAUGCUUGAACAGAGCAUGGCAAGGCGCCUACAUGCACUCAAGCACCCUACAAUCAUGCUAAAGUUAGAUAUUUCAAAGGCUUUCGGCACUAUCCAAUGGGCGUUCUUGCUUGAGGUGCUUCAAAGGAUGGGUUUUGGUAGGAUGUGGACGAACUGGAUGGCAGGGAUCUUGGCCACUUCCUCAACCCAUGUCAUGGUGAAUGGAACUCCGGGUGCCCCAAUUCACAGCUGCAAGGGCCUUCGACAGGGUAGCCCCCUUUCUCCAAUGCUUUUCAUUAUUAUAAUGGAGCCACUUCAGAAACUUUUUUAGCUGUCCGUGGAUAGACAGGUGCUUGCCCCCCUUGGGCGGGAGGGAAUCAAACAAAGAUUAUUUGUCUUUGUUGAUGAUGUGAUUAUAUUCCUGAGGCCGGGCACAUCGGAUCUGAGUGCGUGUGUGCGCAUCCUAGACAUCUU